GGCGCAGCCGCUCGCUCCCGCCCCCCACCCCGCCCGUCCCCGUCGCCCCAAAGCGGAUCUUUCACCCAGCAGUCGCAUAUCCGUGCCCCAGGAAUCAAACUGGCUACCACGUGGAAGGUGCUGGCAGCACGAUACAUUUUUGUUGUAGAGGGACCAAAGACUACAGGUGGAAGAGGAAGGACCUGCCUUAUCCGGACACGAGACUCACAGUUCUGUUAAUGGAACUGGUGUCCUGCAGUUGACGUGGUAAGAGAACGCCAGCUCCUGGUUGCCCUGCCUGCAACCGGGUUUCCAAGUCAGCCCCACCGCGCGGGGGGCCUCGUGGGCAUCGCCGUGCAGAGGCUGGCUCCAAAGACUCCCUCUGGCUCCGUGGCUGCAGGCACGUCAAGAAUGAAACAGGAUGAACAGCUUUUUCAGAAGGAUCACCCAGACUGGGAAAGAUUUAGAAAACUGUCACAGAAAAGAUUGCAAGAAAUAUCUAAAACAUCAGAUCAGUGAUUUCCAAAUUUUGCCUUUAAAUAAUGUCUACUAAAAAUGCCUUUAUAUUUCAACAAAUGGUGCUGAGCCACCUGGACAUUCACAUGCACAAGACUAAGAACUGCUGACAAGAUGUGGAGAAACGGAACCCUCUUAAAUCACUGGUGGGAAUGUAAGUGGUGCAGCCACUUUGGAAAACAUUUGACAGUACUUCAGAAGGUUAAACACAAGGUUACCAGUGGACUCUGGAAUUCCACUCCUAGGUAUAUUUCAAGGGAAAAUGAAAACAGGUCUAUACAAAACUCUCACAUACUUGUUCACAGGAGCAUUAUUUCUAUUAGCUGAAAACUAGAAACAACCCAAGUGUCCAUCAACUGAUAAAUGGAUAAACAAAAUGUGGUUACAUGCAUACAAGGGGGUAUUAGUCAGCCAUAAAACAAAGUGCUGAUACAUGCUACAAUGUGGAUGAACUAAAUCCAGAAUAGGCAAGUCAUUAGAGAAUGAAAGUAGAUUAGUGGCUGCUGGGGGCAGAGGGAGGGAGAGGUGAGGAGUGAUAGAACGUUUCAUUUUGGGGUGGUGAAAAUGUUCUCAAACACACUACAAUUCCAAAACCACUGUACUGUAUAUUUUACUUUUCAAAUAAAGAUUUUAUUUAUUUAUUUAUUUAUUUAUUU